rnacentral:lncRNA from 1 species
UUAAAGUUGGUCGAUCCCAGCUGUGGAUCUGGAACCUUUUGGAGGUCCCCUACCAUCUCUCCUCCCUUACCUCACAUGUCCCAUCAACUUUUUUCCAGCAACUUUUUUUCUCUGAUGAGAUUCCACCAAAUUCUUUAAUUUCUCUUCAUUUUUAUUUAUUUUUUAAUUGUUUUUCCCAUCAACUUGUUAGUCUCUUUUGCUCUAUAAAUGGAGUUCCUCUCUUUCGUUUGAAGCCCCCUUCCUCCUUCCUUUCACCCUUUUGGCAUCUUUCUGGCACCUUUCCUUCUGAAUGUUUUGCUUACAUGUUCCUGGCUCUCAAAGCGUCUUGUUUUGUCAUUGAACUGUAGCUAUAUUCUUCCAUUUCUAUUCUCCAGUCUUGAUCUUGGAUCUCAGUUUCUUGAAUCCAAAACCCAUUAAUAUUCUCCAUCUUAGUACAAUUCUUCUGUGCUGGCUGGCGUUUUGAGGCUGUUUCAAGCAUCAAGUCACUAUCCUUUUCUUUUGGGUUUCUAGUGGGGUUUUUUAAAGUCUUAUCUUGAUGAUAAAUAUUUUGUUCUUGAUGUUUGAGAUUCAUGUCUCCAAUUCUCAGUGAAAUCUUCAUUACUGGGUGCAUGAUAAAUUCUACCUUCAGGCGCAGGACCCAUUUAGUUCAAUCAUUCUCAGUUGUUUUCCUUUACUGGUUGUAUUACGUUUCAUGAUUUUUGCUCAAAAUCUGAUCUUUAGACUAUAAUAUACUAUACUAAAUAUAAUUAAGCUAGUACUAUUACUACUACUAUUAUCUGCAUUAAUUUUGAGUUUGUUGCUAUUUGGGUCCUGCCAUAACUCUCUCUUUGUUGCCGUUCUUGUUUAAAAGUUGCAAACCUGUUUUGUGAGUCUCUCAUGGCUUCCUCUAGUGGAACAUCUUCAGGAUCAUCUUU